rnacentral:rRNA from 1 species
GAUCAUGGCUCAGAUUGAACGCUGGCGGCAGGCCUAACACAUGCAAGUCGAGCGGUAGCACAGGGGAGCUUGCUCCCUGGGUGACGAGCGGCGGACGGGUGAGUAAUGUCUGGGAAACUGCCUGAUGGGAGGGGGGAUAACUACUGGAAACGGUAGCUAAUACCGCAUAACGCCGCAAGACCAAAGAGGGGGACCUUCGGGCCUCUUGCCAUCAGAUGUGCCCAGAUGGGAUUAG